rnacentral:rRNA from 1 species
GUACACUCCUGCGGGAGGCAGCAGUGGGGAAUAUUGGACAAUGGGCGCAAGCCUGAUCCAGCCAUGCCGCGUGAGUGAUGAAGGCCCUAGGGUUGUAAAGCUCUUUCACCGGUGAAGAUAAUGACGGUAACCGGAGAAGAAGCCCCGGCUAACUUCGUGCCAGCAGCCGCGGUAAUACGAAGGGGGCUAGCGUUGUUCGGAUUUACUGGGCGUAAAGCGCACGUAGGCGGACUAUUAAGUCAGGGGUGAAAUCCCGGGGCUCAACCCCGGAACUGCCUUUGAUACUGGUAGUCUUGAGUUCGAGAGAGGUGAGUGGAAUUCCGAGUGUAGAGGUGAAAUUCGUAGAUAUUCGGAGGAACACCAGUGGCGAAGGCGGCUCACUGGCUCGAUACUGACGCUGAGGUGCGAAAGCGUGGGGAGCAAACAGGAUUAGAAACCCCGGUAGUCCCAUGAU